rnacentral:rRNA from 1 species
CAGUCGCCGCGGUAAUACCGAGGGUGCAAGCGUUAAUCGGAAUUACUGGGCGUAAAGCGCACGCAGGCGGUCUGACAAGUCAGAUGUGAAAUCCCCGGGCUUAACCUGGGAACUGCAUUUGAAACUGUCAGGCUGGAGUCUUGUAGAGGGGGGUGGAAUUCCAGGUGUAGCGGUGAAAUGCGUAGAGAUCUGGAGGAAUACCGGUGGCGAAGGCGGCCCCCUGGACAAAGACUGACGCUCAGGUGCGAAAGCGUGGGGAGCAAACAGGAUUAGAUACCCGUGUAGUCCCUGUCUCUUAUAA